rnacentral:rRNA from 1 species
GACGAACGCUGGCGGCGUGCCUAAUACAUGCAAGUCGAGCGAAGUUUUUCUGGUGCUUGCACCGGAAAAACUUAGCGGCGAACGGGUGAGUAACACGUAAAGAACCUGCCUCAUAGACUGGGACAACUAUUGGAAACGAUAGCUAAUACCGGAUAACAGCAUUAACUGCAUGGUUGAUGUUUAAAAGUUGGUUUUGCUAACACUAUGAGAUGGCUUUGCGGUGCAUUAGCUAGUUGGUGGGGUAAAGGCCUACCAAGGCGACGAUGCAUAGCCGACCUGAGAGGGUGAUCGGCCACACUGGGACUGAGACACGGCCCAGACUCCUACGGGAGGCAGCAGUAGGGAAUAUUCCGCAAUGGGCGAAAGCCUGACGGAGCAACGCCGCGUGAGUGAAGAAGGAUUUCGGUUCGUAAAGCUCUGUUGUUAGGGAAGAAUGAUUGUGUAGUAACUAUACACAGUAGAGACGGUACCUAACCAGAAAGCCACGGCUAACUACGUG